GGGCUUGACAUCCCACGAACCUGCCCGAAAAGGUGGGGUGCCCGCAAGGGAGCGUGGAGACAGGUGGUGCAUGGCUGUCGUCAGCUCGUGUCGUGAGAUGUUGGGUUAAGUCCCGCAACGAGCGCAACCCUCACCCCUAGUUGCCACCGGGUUAAGCCGAGCACUCAAGGGGAACUGCCAGCGUCAAGCUGGAGGAAGGCGGGGAUGACGUCAAGUCAUCAUGCCCCUUACGCCCUGGGCUACACACGUGCUACAAUGGCCAGUACAAAGGGACGCGAGACUGCGAAGUGGAGCUAAUCCCAAAAAGCUGGUCUAAGUUCAGAUUGCAGUCUGCAACUCGACUGCAUGAAGGAGGAAUCGCUAGUAAUCGCGUAUCAGCCUGGCGCGGUGAAUACGUUCCCGGGCCUUGUACACACCGCCCGUCACACCACGAAAGCUGUCUGUACUCGAAGUCGCUGAG
rnacentral:rRNA from 1 species